UUCUCAAGCACCACUGGGAAACUGUGUUC
rnacentral:piRNA from 1 species